CUCAGGAAUAUUGGAAUGGAAGUUUCCAGAAGAAUGAAAAUGGCGUAAAUACACAAGACGACUAAAGUCUUUAGGCAACUUUUCAAUAUCCCACCAAUCUCUCAGGUCCAAGAAUUUCAAGUGGUAAAGUCUAGAUAAUGUGCUAGGUAAAGUAAUCUCUAAGUCAUAAGGUGAACUAAUUUUAAGGUACUGGAGGUGGAUAAGAUUUGAGAAGUUCUUUGGUAAAGAUUGUUGAGCUCUCAUGGCUAUAAAUAGUACCCGGAGACCCUUUAUAUCUUUGAAUGUAUCUUUCAACAUAUUAGCUAUUCUUACA